rnacentral:rRNA from 1 species
GACGAAGCGUGCGAACGUUGUUCGGAAUCACUGGGCUUAAAGGGCGCGUAGGCGGGUAGCCAAGUCGGUGGUGAAAUCUUUCGGCCCAACCGGAAAAGUGCCGCCGAUACUGGCUGUCUCGAGGGAGGUAGGGGCGUGUGGAACUGGUGGUGGAGCGGUGAAAUGCGUAGAUAUCACUUGGAACGCCAAUGGUGAAAACAGGUAGCUGGGGAUGUGCCGACGCUGAGACACGAAAGCCAGGGGAGCAAACGGG